CUCCAGUUGAAUAACUGUUAACAAACUGUAAAUUACUCUUUUCUAGGUCCUGGUGAUUAUCAAUGGAUUAUUGCUGUUUUAGGCAUUUUAGGCAUUUUAGGCAUUCGUGAGUAUAUUAUUUAACUUUAUGGUUAUUACAUAUGAGUUCAAAGCUAGGGAUCGACCGAUAUUUUUUUUUUUUUUACAGCCGAUUCAUAUACCGAUAAUCUGUGAACUUUCAGGCCGAUAGCUGAUAACUUGCCAAUAUUCUGUACAUUUACCAUUUUUAAAAAAUAAACUAUUUAAGGUAAAUGCACAAAAUAUACAUGCCACAUGUAGUGGAUGCAGUGUGUUUAGACAGGGGAGCUGUGUGUGUGUGUGUAGUGGAUGCAGUGUGUGUUUGUGUAGUGUGUAUAUAAUGAAUGCAGGGUGUGUUUUUUUUAGUGUGUGUGUAUAGUUGUGUGUGUGUGUGUGUGUGUGUAUAUAAUGCAGCGAGUGUUUGUAUAGUGUGUGUGUAUAUAUAAUGCAGAGUAUGUUUGCAUUAUAUAUAUAUACACACACACACACACACACACACACACACACACACACUAUACAAACACACUCUGCAUUAUAUAUACACACACUACACACACACACUGUACAGAGUGUGUGUGUGUGUGUGUAUAUAUAAUGCAGAGUGUGUGUGUUUGUGAAGGGAUGUAAUUUGUGUAAAAUGGGUGGUGGGGGGCAUUUUUUAUUUUAAUUUUGUUUUUAAUAUUUAUAGGUUUUAUUAUUAUUUUUGUCCCCCCUCCCUGCUUGUUACCUGGCCAGAUAGGGGGGCUAUGGCAUUCCCUGGUGAUCCAGUGGCAUUGGCUGAGCAGUUCAGGGGCCGGCAGCAAGCUGUUACUUACCUUUCCAGCAGCUCCUCCAGCUCCCCAGUUUAAAUAUCGGAGUCUGCGUGGGGUGCGGAGCAUUGCCAUGGUAACCCGUGUCAACGCUCUGACGGCCAAAGCACUCACGAGAUUUACACUGGGGAGCUGAGGAGCUGCUAAAAGUAACAGCUUGCAGCCGCCCCCAGGACCGCUGGGCUUGUAAGGAGCCCGGCGGUCAUGGUAUGUAUUAUCGGCAAUAUCGGUAUCUAUAUUGGCCGAUACCGAAUAUAUCGGUAAAACCGAUAAUCGGUCGAUCCCUAUUCACAGUAUGGGCUUUGGUAAAGGUAUCUUGACUUGCUUUUAAAAUAACAAAUGAAUAGGAUGUUAAUAGAUGAAAAGUAUAUCAAAUUGUCUUAAAAAGUAGCACAAAGUGUUAGCUCAUAGGCAUGGCAGAAAAUUACUAUAGUCAGGACAAUUAAACUUGAGGAAAUCUCCAAGCACCAUAACCAUUACUAUUUUUGCUUAAUGGUUUUGGACAGAAAAUGCAAAAUUUAAAUGGUGUACUGACAAUACUUGCAAGACGGGUUUAUUUCACUAAAUCAGUUAAUUGUAGAGCAUUGACAAUUAAGUGAGGCUUCAGAAAAUGCAUUGGUUGGGGAAAAAACAGAACCAUACCAACAUUGAUGGAUUAUUUAACAUUGCAGUACAGAGAGGGAACUUGACCUUAAAUGUGUGCUUAUAUUCACAAAAUUCACACCAAAAGACUUUGAGUCCUGGCCAUAUAUUGAUUUUAGAGGGAGUAUGGAGAUUUUGUAAUUUAUAUACUGCAUUCUUUUCACAUUGAGAAAGCAUAAACUACUUAGUUUUAUGUUCCAAACCAAAUGUGAUGAUGAUAGUGAUGAGGUAUAGCUGGUGCAAUAAACAUACGAGUAGAGUUUCAGGUCAGUUAUAAAAAUUAGGGGGUUAUAUAAAUUGUAUUUUAUUGUCUGGAUCAUUGUUAUGCUUCAAGUUCUCAUGGUCUCUUGUUUAUUUCAGGGUUUUUUUGGGUAUUUACGACACUAGAUGAAAAGACUGGAGACUUGGAGGCGUUGAACUGCCUUGUCAUUUUUGCUAUCUUUCUCUUGUCCCUCUACCUCCUCAUGACGUUAUAGUUAAUGUAUGGUGCUACACAAUAGGGGGUCUGGACCACUCUAGGUGCACACAAGUGAAAAGAUGAAGGAAUUGAUCAUUAACUGGAAUCAUGAAAUUUGAGAUCUAUUACUGCGCAAGAUACUUCCCCCGCCAACUGCCAGAAAUAGAAGAUAAUGUCCAUCCAUCAACGUUCAGAAAACUGUCACUUGCUGUUUGUGGUCAGUGACAUCAUUAUGCAACGUGGCACAUUCUCUUUUUAUAUAUAUGUGCCAAUACAGAUACAGGUUUCUAUUUUUAUUUUGCCUUUUUCUUCAGGCCCUGGGGGGAGAGCGCAGCUAAGCGGACAAGGGCACAUGUAGGAGUGUGGGGAUAAGCGUGGAUAAGGUCGGCUGAUGGCGGGCAUUGGAAAGAUAUGAUUUUUAUGACGAGGGGGGAGGUGAGAGGAAGUGGUGAUUAGGAACCACUGUAUGUUUAUUGGCAAGGACGGUUGGGUCACUGCAUAAGCCUAUGUGUGAGGUUAUAUAUGUAUAUAUGUUAAUGUAUGAUUAUUUAUGUCUAACUUUUUUGGUUAAUGAAAAAGAAGAGAUUUUAUAAAUAAAGUUAUGGAUGAGUUAUG